AUUGAACGCUAGCGGGCUGCUUUACACAUGCAAGUCGCACGAGUGGCGGACGUGUGAGUAAUAUAUCGGAACGUGCCCAGUAGCGGGGGCUCACUACUCGAAAGAGUGGCUAAUACCGCCUACUAUUCCAGCGGCCGAUCUCGGAUUAGCUAGUUGGUGGGGUAACGGCUCACCAAGGCAACGAUCCGUAGCUGGGUUGAGUGGACGACCAGCCACACUGGGACUGAGACACGGCCCAGACGCCUACGGGAGGCAGCAGUGGGGAAUUUUGGACAAUGGGGGAAACCCUGAUCCAGCCAUCCCGCGUGUAUGAGAAGGCCUUCGGGUUGUAAAGUACUUUUGGCAGAGAAGCGGUAUCUGCAGAAUAAGCACCGGCUAACUACGUGCCAGCAGCCGCGGUAAUAC
rnacentral:rRNA from 1 species